rnacentral:rRNA from 1 species
GGGGGGGGGGGGGGGGGGGGGGGGGGGGGGGGGGGGGGGCGGGGGGGGGGGGGUGGGUGCGCUGGUGGGGGGGGGUGGCGAGCGGGUGGGUACCAGGUGAGUAACCUGUCCUUGUCUUUGGGAUACUGCUUCGAAAGGGUGCUUAAUCCCUUAUGUUCUGUCUGCCUCGCAUGUGGUGGCUGGUAAGGGCUUUGGCGGGAUUUUGGUGGGCUCGCGGUCUAUCAGCUUGAUGGUGGGGUGAUGGCUUACCAAGGCUUUGACGGGUAGCCGGCCUGAGAGGGUAGUCGAUCACAGUGGGACUGAGAUACGGCCCAGACGCCUGCGGGGGGCAGCAGUGGGGGAUAUUGCACAAUGGGCGAAAGCCUGAUGCAGCGACGCCGCGUGGGGGAUGAAGGCUUUAGGAUUGUAAACUUCUUUUGCUCUGGACAAGGCAUGCCAGUGGGUGUGUUGAGUGUAGGGGUUGAUUAGCGCCGGCUAACUACGUG